rnacentral:rRNA from 1 species
GACGAACGCUGGCGGCGUGCUUAACACAUGCAAGUCGAACGGAAAGGCCCUGCUUUUUUGGUGUGCUCGAGUGGCGAACGGGGGAGUAACACGUGAGUAACCUGCCCUUGACUUUGGUAUAACUUCAGGUAACUGGGGCUAAUACCGUAUAGGAUCUCCUGCUGCAUUGUGGGGGUUGGAAAUUUUCGGCUGUUGGGGAUGGACUCGCGGCUGAUCAGCUUGUUGGUUGGGUAGUUGCUUACCAAGGCUUUGACGGGUAGCCGGCCUGGGAGGGUGACCGGCCACAUUGGGACUGCGAUACGGACCAGACUCCAACGGGAGGCAGCAGUGGGGAAUAUUGCACAAUGAGAGGAAGUCUGAUGCAGAAACGCCGCGUGCGGGAUGACGGCCUUCGGGUUGUAAACCGCUUUCGCCUGUGACGAAGCGUGAGUGACGGUAAUGGGUAAAGAAGCACCGGCUAACUACGUG